GGUUCCAUAGUGUAGCGGUUAGCAAGUCUGAUUUACACGCAGAAGGUCCUGGGUUUGCGCCUCAGUGGAGCCC
rfam:Pteropus alecto contig74477, whole genome shotgun sequence.